rnacentral:rRNA from 1 species
AUUGAACGCUGGCGGCAUGCUUUACACAUGCAAGUCGAACGGUAACAGGCCUUCGGGUGCUGACGAGUGGCGAACGGGUGAGUAAUGCAUCGGAACGUGCCCAGAGGUGGGGGAUAACGCAGCGAAGGCUGUGCUAAUACCGCAUGUGAUCUGAGGAUGAAAGCGGGGGACCAAGCAGCAAUGUUUGGCCUCGCGCCUCUGGAGCGGCCGAUGUCAGAUGAGGUAGUUGGUGGGGUAAAGGCCUACCAAGCCGACGAUCUGUAGCUGGUCUGAGAGGACGACCAGCCACACUGGGACUGAGACACGGCCCAGACUCCUACGGGAGGCAGCAGUGGGGAAUUUUGGACAAUGGGCGCAAGCCUGAUCCAGCAAUGCCGCGUGCGGGAAGAAGGCCUUCGGGUUGUAAACCGCUUUUGUACGGAACGAAAAGGCUCUGGCUAAUACCUGGGGCUGAUGACGGUACCGUAAGAAUAAGCACCGGCUAACUACGUG